UGGGGAAUCUUGCACAAUGGGGGAAACCCUGAUGCAGCGACGCCGCGUGAGCGAUGAAGCCCUUCGGGGUGUAAAGCUCUUUCGUCAGGGAAGAUAGUGACGGUACCUGGAGAAGCAGCUGCGGCUAACUACGUGCCAGCAGCCGCGGUAAUACGUAGGCAGCAAGCGUUGUUCGGAGUUACUGGGCGUAAAGGGUGUGUAGGCGGUUCUUUAAGUUUGCUGUGAAAUCUCCCGGCUUAACCGGGAGGGUGCGGUGAAUACUGAGGGACUAGAGUACGGGAGAGGAAAGUGGAAUUCCUGGUGUAGCGGUGAAAUGCGUAGAUAUCAGGAGGAACACCGGUGGUGUAGACGGCUUUCUGGACCGUAACUGACGCUGAGACACGAAAGCGUGGGUAGCAAACAG
rnacentral:rRNA from 1 species